rnacentral:sRNA from 1 species
UAUCCCCCAAACCAAGGGGGGAUGAUAACCACCGACCGGGGUUCGACAACUGGCGCAGCCAGUUGGACAGACGUCGAGCUUGCGAGGAGACUGCCCGAAGGGCGAGCGCAGCGAGUCAAUCCCCCCCUCACCGCCA